UGGGUGCGCGCACGCACCGCGCUAGAGGACCGCCUCCCGCUCCUGAGCCGCAAAGCUGGAGGCUGCAGUCGCCGUGGACGUUAAGGCUUUACGGUUGCAAACGCUGCCGUUUCUCUUAUGCUCCUUUCUUCUGGCGGAUUAUUGGAAGCGGUCCACGCGGUCCUCAGUGAAGCCGCGCGCCUGGGAUUUCGGAGGGCUGGGCCGCAGGGUCCCCACUACACCUGCAGCCGCCGGCGAAGUGGGCGUCUCCGGCUUGGAGGGCGCGCUUGGAAGGAUGGGGCCUAAAAAGUCGCUUUUUGAGGAGGCCGAGAACGAGUAGAAGAGGAUCUUUUGAUCUGCUGAGCAUCUUAAGAUUAGAGAGCGCGAGCUGAAGACCGCUGAAUUGCUGUGAAUUCUAAAAGGGAAAUGAAUGCAAAGUCUCAGGAAAUUACCCACGAGUAACGAAUAAACGUCUAGACAGCGGCUGCUCUAGUGACAAAGAAGAGUCCCCCGCUGACUAGUGUGAGCAAACACAUGCUGUGUCUUAAACAACUGGGCCCUUGGUGUCUUUGUUGCUGUGGCCCAACUCAGCCCAUCCAGACCACCGCAGUUAGGGCGCCACAGCCAGGCCAGUCCACUAACUGACGUGUGUGAGUUUGUGAGGCUGCUGAACACACUGCUGAUUCCUGAAAUCUGCUGCACCUGGACCAAGUUAUGUGCUCAUCAUUUUUCUAAUAAACAAAGCGAGUGCUUUUAA